AAAAUAUUUCAUUACAACAAUAAAUUCAGUUGGACUCGAACGUGACGGUGUUUACAUGUUGCCCUGGUGACCUCGCCCGACCUGACCCCGGAGAGGAGGACACGGCAGGAAUCAUCAGAAUGGGACAGACAUUGAGUGAACCUGUAACUCAGAAGGAGACGUCACGAUGCGAGAAUUCUUGGUUGCGAGUGGGAGCCUCAUGCAUGCAGGGUUGGCGGGUGAACAUGGAGGAUGCGCACACCACCAUUCUUUCCCUCCCGGAUGACCCUGGCACAGCCUUCUUUGCUGUAUAUGAUGGACAUGGAGGUGCACGCAUCGCCCAGCAUGCUGGCAAGCACCUCCACAAAAGCAUCGUCAACAGGCCUGAGUACUCUUCAGGCCAGAUAGAGGCAGCCGUCAAGCAGGGCUUUCUAGACCUGGACAAUGCCAUGCAGACAGAUGAGGUGCUGAAGGAUGAGCUUGCUGGUACCACUGCUAUCUGCUGCCUUUUGAGGAACAGAACUGUCUACUGUGGCAAUGUGGGAGACUCCCGUGCCAUUGCAAGUGUUUGUGGGCGUGUGGAAGAACUCAGCAGUGACCACAAGCCCAGUCUCGCCUCAGAGCAGCGCAGGAUCACGGCGGCAGGCGGCUGGGUUGAGCUGAACAGGGUUAAUGGCAACCUUGCCCUCUCGAGAGCUCUGGGAGACUUUGUGUUCAAGAAGAAUGAGCUUAAAGGGCCAGAAGAACAGAUUGUUACAGCCUGCCCAGACGUAACAAUGCGUGAGUUGACUGAUGAUUGGGAGUUCAUCGUGAUUGCAUGUGACGGCAUCUGGGAUGUCAUGACCAAUCAGGAGGUGGUGAACUUUGUGCGGCUGCGACUCUCUCAAGGAAUGGAGCCAGAGGAUGUGUGUGAGGACCUUAUGACAAGGUGCUUGGCGCCGGACUGCCAAAUGGGUGGGCUCGGCUGCGACAAUAUGACAGUGAUCCUAAUCUGCAUACUUCAGACGGGAUCAUGGAAAGAGUUGCAAGAGAAGUGUGGGCGGCCCUCACUGGCUCUCACCAGUCAGACCAAUGAGGAUGACAGUGACCUGGAUCUCCAGUGAAGACCCAAGACCUGUACCCACCUCAGGGAUCUCAACAUCCAGGCCUACAGGGUUGGCAGGUUCAACUUCUCCAGUCUUUCCUCAAAGUUAAAUCUCUUAAGCUGGGAGCCCAGCGUGUAGCAGCCCUUUGUACUCUUUCUGUCUUAUAUGUUUUAAUAAAUGGGGAUUCCAAACUGCUGCUGCAUAUUCUAGAGUUGGUCUUAUAUAUGAUAUGAUUGUCUUCCUCACCAUAUCCUCAUUUAUAUACGUGAAGGCCAGUCUCAUGUUUGCUAAUAAUAUAUUCAUAACCCUUAUUUUUCAUUUAUAUGAUCUGCUGGUGUCAUCUUGUUAAUUAUAACUCCCAAAUCUUUUCUUAUUAUUAUUAUAUUAUAUUAUUCAUAUUAUAUUAAUAUAUAAUAUAAUAAUAUUUACAGUCACCUCUUGAUUAACACGAGGGUUACGUUCCUGGAGAUGUCGUGUUAUUUAAAAUCGCGUUAUUUAAACAUAAUUUCCCCCUAAGAAACAAUAGGGAAAGUCUGCCUAUUUUGGGGAUUUUGUUACUCUAACCUUAAAAAAACACAUUAUUAAUACAUUAGUAGGUCACGGAAACAACAAAAAAACACGAUCUCAUUUUAUUUACAUUUGUACUUCACUUUCAACACUCGACACUUGUGUUGGCCACCGUCCCUCCUCACCCCGCGCUCCCGUUACCAGCCGCUCCCUUCACCAACCACUCUCCGCCUCACUUGCCUCCUUCCUCUUCCUCUGACUGGUCGUUGUCAUGACUAGUUGUCUGCCGAAUCCUCAUCCCGCUCUCCCUCCUCACCCACUGCCAUUUCCUGCCUCAUACCGGAUAGCAUGGCAGCGAUCAAGUCCAUCUGGCCUGGUUUCACAUCACCAGCGCCGGGCUCAGCCCUGCCCUCCUCCUCUCUCUCACGGCAGCCAUCUUGGGAUACCAUGAUGACUCGGCACACCUCACUGUUCACUGUUUGCUCAUCCCACUCAACUGACACCAAAUGUUACACCACCCCCUGCAUCACACCAACCACUCACAGUGCAGGCUAGCUUCAGACUGGGGAGAAACAGAGUGUCCCAGCGCAGUUCCCACCAGAAGUAGCGUGGGUGCGCGUGACGUCAUCGAGCAUGACGUUAUCGAUUAAAUGCGCAUUAAAUAAAAAAUAUUGCGUUAGUUAAUCGUAUCUCCUUAAAUAUAAACUCGUGUUAAAUCAAAAACGUGUUGUUUAAACUUGUGUUAAUCAAAAGGUGACUGUAUUGUUAUAUUAUAUUAAUAUAUUAAGAAUAUAAUAUGUGCCGACACUGAACCUUGAGGCACUCCACUUGUCACCUCUCCCUAUGCAGAGUAUUUUCUCCUUAACCCAGUAGCUGUGGGUAUCAGGUUUCUGUAAGGUCCCUCUUAGCGAGAAAAAUGAGAAAAAAUCAUCACUCACGCGAACCAUUUCAUAAUAUAUAUCAACGCAUUUGUGAUCAGUUUAUGUAUCAUCUAUUUUAGGGGGUUUAUAUCAUGGCAAAAAUUUGACCCAUUGCUGGUACACUCUGUUUCUUUAUCUUCAGCUUCCUUUCCAGCUGUUCUAUAUCUGCAGUGGUAGACGGUCACUGUUUUUCCCCUAAACCUAUCAACAGUGGUGUUCCACAGGGCUGUCCUAUCACCCACUCUCUUCCUGUUGUUCAUCAAUGAUCUUCUUUCCAUAACAAACUGUCCUAUCCACUCAUAUGCUGAUGACUCCACUCUGCAUUAUUCAACUUCUUUCAACAGAAGACUCUCUGAAAAGGUAUUACAUGACUCAAGACUGGAGGUUGCAGAGCGCUUAACCUCAGACCUUGCUAUUAUUUCCGAUUGGGGUAGAAGAAACCUUGUGUCCUUUAAUGCCUCAAAAACUCAAUUUCUCCACCUAUCAACUUGACAUAAUCUCCAAACACCUAUCCCCUAUUCUUCAAUAACACUCAGCUGUCACCUUCUUCAACACUAAAUAUCCUUGGUCUAUCCUUAGCUCAAAAUCUCAACUGGAAACUUAACAUCUCCUCUCACUAAAUCAGUUUCCUCGAGGUUGGGCGUUUUGUAUCGUCUCCGCCAGUUCUUUUCCCCUGCACAGUUGCUAUCCAUUUACAGGGGCCUUGUCUGCCCUCGUAUGGAUUAUCCAUCUUGUGUGGGGGGCUCCACUCACACAACUCUCCUGGACAGAGUGGAGUCUAAGGCUCUUCAUCUCAUCAGCUCUUCUCUUCUUACUAAUAGUCUUCUACCUCUUAAAUUGUGCCGCCAUGUUGCCUCUCUCUAUCUUCUAUCGAUAUUUUCACGCUGACUGCUCUUCUGUGUUUGCUUACUGCAUGCCUCCACCCCUCCUGCAGCCCCACUGCACACGACUUUCUACUCUUGCUCAUCCCUAUAUUAUUCAAACCCCUUAUGCAAGAAUUAACCAGCAUCUUCACUCCUUAAUCCCUUACACUGGUAAACUCUGGAACAGCCUUCCUUUGUAUGUAUUUCCUCCUGCUUAUGACUUGCCCUCUUUCAAGAAGAGUGUUUCAAGACACCUCUCCACCCGAAAUUGACCUCUCUUUUGGCCACUCUACUGUUUUCUGUUGUUGGGAGCGGCAAGUAGUGUUGCCCUUUUGUUGUAAAAAAAAAAAAAAAAAAAAAAAGAGCCACAAAUUUGGCCCAUCGCUGCUACCGGGUUAACAUUGUUCUCAUUUCUCUGUUUUUAAGACAAUCUUGAAUCCACCUGAAUAGCUUUCCUUGAACUCCUCCUUUGUACUUUAGUUUCCACGGAAGCCUUUGACGUGGCACUUUGUCAAAAGCUUUCUUAAAAUCCAUAUAAAUACUGCUCACCCAUCCACCUCUCUCCUGUAUUACUUCUGCUACCCUGUCAUAAAAAAUCAGAGAUUUGAAACACACAAUUUUCCUUUUCUGAACCCACAUUGGCUCUCUGUAAGUAUACUGUGGUUUUCAAGAUGCACUGUGAGAAGCUUCCUUACCAGCUUCUCUAGAAUUUUACAUACAACACUUGUUUAUGAUACUGGCCUAUAAUUUAACAGGUUUUGUUUAUUAUUCUUUUUGAAAAGGGGAAAAAAUGUUGGCUUUUUUCCAUAUGGUUGGUAGCUUUCCUUGCCUGAAUGAUUCCAGAAAUAUGUAAUUCAGUGGUGUACAUAACCCGUCCGCUGCUAUUGGAAUGAAUUUGGCUUUCACUGGUAGCCUGGUAUCAUAUACUCCCAGGUCUUUCUCUGCCUCUGUGGUGGAUAGUGAAGUGUUUCCCAUGUGGUAUUGGUGUGCUGGAUAUCCCCUCCCAAGGUGCAAGACUACAUUUUUCUUCAUUGAAUUGUAGCAACCACUUUUUGAUCCAUUCCUGUAGCUUGGUGAGGUCUUCUUGUAGGAAAUCUGCAGUCAACAGGUUAAUUCAUCUGCACAAUCAUUUAAUACCCAAGAUGAAAUAUCAUCAGGUCCACUUGCUUUUUUCUUGUCCAGUUUACUCAACUUCUCCUUGACUUCUUGUCUUGUUAUGUUUAUAUCUGAUAAUUUGUGAGGGACUGACUGUUCUCCAGCAUCUGCUUCAAAAAUAUUUUCUUCAGUGAAAACUGACUGGAAGCUGUUAUUUAACACUCCACAUCUAUCCUGUUCUUCAUCAUAUAAUUUCCCUUCACACAAAAUUGUUUGUAUCUUGUCUUUUACUUUAGUUUUACUUCUUAUAUAGUUGUAGAACAACUUUGGUUGGUUAGUACUUUCAUCUCCAAUGUCUCUUUCAAACUGUAUUUGAGAUUCCCUUCUUAUAAUCAUUUCUUCCCCAUUUAUAAUUUUCAUAAGCUCUCACUUCCAUGCCUUCUGUAUCUGUUCCACAAUAAAUCCCCCUCAUUUUUAGCUUUUUGACAUUCCUUGUUAAACCACUUUUUUAUUCUGUCAGUCUCAGUCUUAGAGUGAGGAAUAAACAUAUUUACUUCUAUUUUGUAAAACACAAAAUUUUUCAUACUGCUCGUUGAUGUUCCAAUCCUUUAAUUCUUUCUUCCAAUCUAUUUCCAGGAAAUACCUAUUUAAUUCUUCAUUGUUUCCCAUUUUGUCAUUUCAUUGCUUUUUGUAAUCUACAUUUUCAUUUUCUACAUCAUAUGCUACCACAAAGUUAAACUCCAGGGCCUAUACUUAUAAAGCUAUCACUUCGUCUGUGGCUCGUCUUAAGAGCCCAAACCGGCCCUGUGGAGUCCUAUAUCCUGGGUGUUAAUCUGAGACUCAGCACAGGUAGCUAAAUUUGUUCCCGGGCAGACAUAAGCCCUGGGUCUUCGGCUGAGGCAUUGACCUUCAAAUGUAAACAUUGCCAGGUGAUGUCAGACAGCCAGCGUGCCUCAUCAAAACCGUUUUACAUUCAAAUGCUCACUAUAGCCUUAUGAAACCCUAUUAUAAUGGAUAUGAUGUACUUUUAUUCAAUACUUUCAUCAUUUUAAGGUAUUUUUACCCAUUAAUUUUCAAAUGAGAUAGCUGAUCUUUCGAGCUAACUCACUUGGCAACUUUAUGUUCCCCACUACCUGUGGUGGCUGGAACCCCAGCUAGGUUGAAAACUCGUCACUUCGGAGAGACUUAAGUCAAACGCCUCAUUUCUUUAUAAGUAUGGGCUCAGGACCAUGUGAUCACUCUUGCCAAGCAGAGGGCUAUAUAUAAAGUUGUCAACUUAAUUUUCUUGUCAAGUAAAUAUAAGGCCUAGUAAAGAAGGUUCAUCCAAGCUUCUCUUUCAUGUGUUGUAUCUUACAUGUUGAGUCAUUAAGAAGUCCUGAGCUAAAUUCAGCAAUUCUUGGUCCCAAAAGUUUUUCAUUCUCUGAACAAUGUCCCAAUUAAUAUUUGCAUUAAAGUCUUCUGUUAGUUUAAUCCGCUCUGACUUAUAUUCCACCUGCUGUAGCAGAGUUCUUAAACACUGAAUUGUAUUAUCUACCAAGUCUUUGUAUUUUUUUGUGCCCCAUGUGUUUGUUUUGGGAGGCAUUUACAGAGUUGCUAUAAUUACAUAUCCCACUAAAGUUGAUAUUCGUUCCACUUGAGAGCAUCGACUCAACUUCAUAUCUAACUUUUAGUUUUUUCUUUGUUGAAAUCAUAAUGGCACCUCCAUUCUUCAGUUUCCUGUCUCUUCUCCAGAUGUUGUAAUCCUUGGUGUUGAGGGCAUCAUUUGUAAUAACUGAGCUUUGUUUAGUUUCUGUCAGGCAGAUUACUUGUGGCUGCUUGUAUUACAUCUUUAAACUAAUAAUUUAGAAAUGAUCCCAUCUACAUUUGAAUAUGCCAUUCUCAAAACUUUAUUUAAGGGGAGGCACUGCCAAAAAUGGGUAUUUUUCACUAUUUCAGCCAAAUUUUAAAAGUCACUCCAAAAAAUAGCUGAACAUGUCACAUGUUCCCUGUGGAAGUUUGGCAGCUGUAUGAUAAUUCUUUCCCUUUCAAAUAAUUUGAUUUGUAUUACUAAUUUCGUGGUCCCCUCCCUGCAGAAACCUCCGUUUUCUGUAGAAUACUCAUAUAUGUUACAUUUUGCCUUCUUUUGUCCAAUUUUUCCACUUCAUUUUACAAAAAGUGUGUCAUCAUUCAUCUGGCAAAAUUCUAGUGGCAGCCAGCAAGCCUCGGAGAGUGUGGUUGAGUGGAUCAGUCAAUCAGUUAGUGCAUUGCAAGCACUCCUCAGAGGUACAUUUGUACUUGUACUUUGGCAGGUUUGGACACCUAGGGAAAGAAAAGAAAGUGACGAAGAAGAAGUAACAGGAGGUAUCCACAGAACACUACAGCCCAGGAGAUUUCUACUGUGUGCACACACACACACACACACGCAUACAUACAUACAUACAGGUGCCAAUUAUGAUUAUUAUUUUUUAUAUCAUUCAUUGUCAUUCAUAAAUAUAACUGCAUAGGUAUCUAAGUUGUAUUUUACCGCUGUAAGAUCCUCUAAAAAUCAUAACUUUGUACGCUGAUUGCAUUUACACACAAAAUAGCCGAUAUUUCUAAAGUCCAUUUAUUUUACUUUGGAGAAUAAUAAUUCCAUUAGUUGUGAAGAAAAAAAAAAAAAAAAAACUCAAACAUCCCCUGAAAGACGAGUGGAUAAAAAAAUUGUCCGUCAGUUUUUUUAUAAACAAAAAUACACUGCUGAUAUUAUUUAUUGAAUGUAAAAAAAGUGGUAGAGUUAUGGGAAACAUCAAAUGAUGAUUUUGGUAAUUUUUUUGCUCAGGAACAGUGAGACAUUAAAAAUUUGAACGGACAAUUUUUAACUAGUGGCGCCAUGAGUAAAACUACCCAAUAUCAUACAUAUUGAGUGAACAUUCUGGCCCCCAUUAAUGUUUUUAGCUCUGCUUUUAUUACAAAUAAUAAAUUUUGUUCAUAAUUUUUUUUCGUACAGAAGCACGAAAGCUAUUAUGCUGAUACAUGCAGAUCUUAUUGCAUUUACUUAAGUCUUCAAAGAAAAAAAUACCUUAAAACAAUUGAAAUAAAAUGAAUGUACCCUCCACUAAUACUGGGCGGCGCCUCCCCUUAAAUAUUUAACCUUGGCUUCCUUAUUGCUUUUGAUACUUCUUGUUACCAUUUCUUUACUUGAAGACCUACCACUUUGCUGACUGCUCUUCUGAACUUGCUAACUGCAUGCCUCCACUCCUCCUACAUGCCCACUGCAUUCAACUUCCUACUCUAGGUCUACUGUCCAAAUCCCUUAUGCAAGAGUUAAACGGCAUCUUCACUCUUUCAUCCUUUUUGCUUGUAAACUCUGGAACAACCUUCCUUUGUCUGUGUUUCCUCCUUCCUACAACUUGACCUCUUUCAAGAGAGGAGUAUCAAGACACCUCUCCAUCUGAAACUAACCUCUCUUUUGGCUACUCUUAUCAACUUCCUUUUGUAGGAUCUGUGCUAUAGCAGGAUUUUUUAUUUAUUUAUUUUUUUUGCUCCUGAGUUGCUUCCUUUACUGUAAAAAAAGGAAAAAUGGAAAAUUGAAAUAAAUAUUCUACAAUAAUUAC